UUUUUUGUGGUGUAGAAAACACACUGGUUUUUCACACCAGAGACGGAUUUUUAUCCCAAAAAAG
rnacentral:tRNA from 1 species